GUGGGGAAUAUUGCACAAUGGGCGAAAGCCUGAUGCAGCAACGCCGCGUGAGGGACGACGGCCUUCGGGUUGUAAACCUCUUUUAGUAGGGAAGAAGCGAAAGUGACGGUACCUGCAGAAAAAGCACCGGCUAACUACGUGCCAGCAGCCGCGGUAAUACGUAGGGUGCAAGCGUUAUCCGGAAUUAUUGGGCGUAAAGAGCUCGUAGGCGGUCUGUCGCGUCUGCUGUGAAAACUGGAGGCUCAACCUCCAGCCUGCAGUGGGUACGGGCAGACUAGAGUGCGGUAGGGGAGAUUGGAAUUCCUGGUGUAGCGGUGGAAUGUGCAGAUAUCAGGAGGAACACCGAUGGCGAAGGCAGAUCUCUGGGCCGUAACUGACGCUGAGGAGCGAAAGCGUGGGGAGCGAACAGGAUUAGAAACCCCGGUAGUCC
rnacentral:rRNA from 1 species